AAUUCACCUUUGAAAAAAUAAAUGGUGCCCGCUGUCUGACCGAUAUUCUAGAAUGUGCUCUUAGGUACAGAAAGAUUGGGGACCCCUGUAUUAGUGGGUCACAUUACUUAAAAACUUAAGAUUAAAAAUAGUUAUAUUAAAGAAUAAACAUAUAAGUCGCAUGGUAAAGCAGUCAUUUAUGGGGAAGAUCUUGAUUCAAUUCGAAGUCCUGCACUUCCAAUUUUUCAUGAGAGAUCCAGGUUUGAGCCUGUUCAGUAAGCCCAAGUACAGAUUUAUUAAAUUAGCUAAGCCUUUAAGUACGGAUCUGUAUAAGUUGGGGAUUGCCUGUAUAUACCGUAUAUUUCAGAAAGAUCAUAUUCAAAAAGUAUAUUUGCAUCAGUGCUGAGAUAUAUCACACCUUUUCAAGAAAAGUAAUAAGUUGAGGUGUGAUUUUAGAGGAACACAAAAAUAGAUAAAAUUUUUUCUGAUAUAAC
rnacentral:lncRNA from 1 species